UUCUGACUUUCCUGUCCUGACUAGAGGAGAGCUGGCUGCUGCCAUGGAAACCUAGGUACCCAGGGGGAUAAGGUUUCUUCAGUCUUUCCUUCAUCCUCAAGGAAAUUGAUUGAUUACCCUGAAUGGAGGACAUCUAGCUCUUGAUUUCUCAAGAGCACUGGUUUGAACACACUUUAAGUAAGUAGGAUAUUCUAAAAUAAAUCAAUAUUUUCAAUAGAGAAAUUUCUGUUUUCCUUAGUGAAGCUGGAUAAAUGGACCACUAUCAUAUUAAGUGUUGUAAAAGAAAGGAAGAGAAUUUCAAGGCUCUUAAAUAUUUAAUGGGGUUGAGAAUUCUGUCAUACGGAUAAUAUGUUAAUCAGCUGUUUUUAGUUAGGUCUUUGUAGCUCAUAUUCACAGAUAACUCAACUCAGUUUAUGUGAGGAAUAAAUUUGAAUAAUUUCUACUAAUGUACACAUACUCCUUCAGAUACGUUAAUUGAUGAGUUCCAACACUAAAUAGUGAAUGCAUUGUCUUCUCAAAACUGUUUAUCCCUAGAAUAAAGCUUUUUAGUAGUAGACUGCGGCGGCAAUGACCUACUUGCUCCAGAAUCUAGAGCUCCCAACUUUCAGGUUCUAUUCAAACCUUGUAAACAUAUUGCCCGUGUAAUUUUGUACUUAGCCAAUCCUGUUGUGAGGCCAGAGUGAUAAUGUGGAUGCUGAACAGAUAUUUCUAGCUGCGUGGGUGCGGCGAGAUGGAGACCUGCCGAGCAACUGGUUUUGUCUGUUGGCCCAGGGGCUUGUGCCUGCCUGUUUCUGGAAGGGUGAGUCGGCAGAACCACCCAUCGUGUGGGUUUUACUUUCUGCCAUAGAGUGGUGCUGAGAAGUGUAAUCUGACUUUAGCAUAAAAAAAAAAAAAUACAUAAGAGGAAAAGUUAACAAAGGCCUCUGGAGAUUAGGGCGUGUGCACAGUUGCAAAUGCAUGCUCAGAAAGACUGAAAACUCACGCUGGUUUCUGAAAUUAGCACAGAGAUAUGGAAGUCUGGAUCUUGCGGAACUUAUUUUUCUACUUCUUCAAAAGUAGAAAAUGCUGAAAAUGGAAAGUCGGAGAGCAUUUAAAGACUUAGAUCACCAAAUCUCAGCCUUUUGUUUCUUACCCUCGACAUUUCAGGCUCUACGAUGCACUCGGAAUAUUUUUUUCUUUCUGUAUUUUUUUUUUUAUUUUCAAACAUUCUUUGUUAAAAUUAAUUCUUGGAUGAUUUUAUUCAUGCUUACAAUGGAUUCUGAACAUACUCGGCCCUUAUGGCCCACUGACUUUCAUCAGGGCCACUGGAGUGGGCUUGGGGCUAUGCCACUGAAGACAAAUGGCCACCUGUCACCCAACAACCCAUCAUCUGCUGCUUUCUCCCCUGGACCCUCCUCAUCUGUGAUGGACUUUUUAUUGGUUUUUAUCUUGUGCAGGCAACUGCAGCUUUUCCUGAGUUUAUGUCUCAGCCAUAGUAUGCUGUUUUAUGGACCUCUUUCAUUCCAUUCCCUCUUAAAGAUUCUUUCUGUUCAUUUUUUUUUUUUUUGAGAUGUUCCCUGAGCCUAGGGAUCUUAUGAGCAUCUUGUUUAAUGCUGAACUGUCAACAGUCACUAAUUUUUAGUACCUUUAGCCAUGUAUCUCUGCUUUAACCAGUAUUUGCUGCAAAGAGAGGCUUUUUUGGUCAAGGCUGAAUACUGCACUUGUCUGUGGGUAUGAAUGUAAAUAUUUAUGAGGCAUUCUGACAAUAUAUUUAUUUAUCAAAACAACAAUACUAAUGUGUUGUUUUGGAUGCAAAUGGCCUCUAUAAACAAAUAUAUUCGAAUGCUUUGGUUCCUAGUUUAUGGACUCUUUAGGAAUGAUUAGGAGGUAUGGCUUUGUUGGAGGAGCUGUGUCACUGGUGGGCUAUGAGGCUUUAAAAGCCCACACCUCUCUGCCUGUGGAUCAGGUACUGCUUCAGCACCAUGCCUGCUUGGCCCAGCAUUCCUGGAUAUAAUGAUCAUUGACCAAGCUUCUGAAGCUGUGAGCAAGGCCCCAACUAAAAGUUUUCUUUUAUAAGUUACCUUAAUUGUGAUGUUUCUUCACAGCAGGAGAGCAGUACUGAAGACAGGGAGCUUCUGCCCUAGUGACUCUGACCUUCCAGCAUGGGUCUUUGACGAGGACCUCAGUACCUGGUGUGAACUCCUUCCUAUAGGGAAGGCUUCAGCUCCAAUCAGAAGCCAGAUUAUUAAGGACAGACUGACAUCCUACACAUUUUGAAGUGCUAUGAUUUCUGUCAUAAUGUGACCCAGCUUGUUAUGGAGGAUUCUUUGAUCAGUGGGUUGUUUAGAUGUGUAUUUCUUCUAUCCAAACAUUUGGACCUUUUCUAGUUACUUCUAUUAUUAAGUUCUUGCCUAAUUUCCCAAGAUUAGUGGGUUUUUGGUAUUUUUUUUUGGACAGGUGACUCAUCUUCAUUUGAUUCUGAUCAAAUAACCAGCCUUACUUAGAUGGUGACCCUUUUAUUUUUGCUUUGGAGAAUGGGUUUAGACAUUUAACAUUUUGAUGUAUCACGUUGUAUAUGUUUCAUGUAAAAUUAAUGUAGCAAUACUGUAUAACAUUAAAUAUGUAUUUCUAUUUUUUAUAUAGUUAUUUAAACCUUAGUUUUCUUUUCUUUUCUUCUUUUUUUUGGUUUUUUUUUUUUUUUGUUUUUUUUUUUUUUGUUUUUUUUUUUUUUUUUUGUUUGUUUUUUUCCACACAGGGUUUUUCUGUGUAACUCUGGCUGUCCUGGAACUCACUCUGUAGACCAGGCUGGCCUCGAACUCAGAAAUCUGCCUGUCUCUGCCUCCCAAGUGCUGGGAUUAAAGGCAUGUACCACCACUGCACAGCAUAGUUUUCCUUAAAGAGAAGCUAGACAACUUCUUUGGGAUUAAAUGAACAGGAAACUCUGUAAUUCCACAAUCCAAAAUCGUGAGAAAAUGACCUGGCCUUGUUUCCUGAGUGAUACAGAUUUCACAUUGCUGAGAGCAAAACCUCUAAUUUAACAGAUGUAGACAGUGCCCAAGAAUGAGCUUGUCAUAAACUCCUGUGUGAUGCUCACCUUCUAAACAGACAGAAUGAGAACUGUAUCUGUCAAAGUCAUCCCUUCUUUUAACCAUAGUGAAUACAUUAAAAAGGUUUCUCUCCAGUACACAUUCUUUCAUGAUGAUGAAGCCUACAGAAUUGUACAAAGGCUUCACCAUAUUAAAUACACUCACAGGGUUUCUGUCUUAGCAUUUCCAUUGCUAGGAAUAGACAUCAUGACCUUUAAUAAAAGCAACCCUUUAAUUGGGGCUGGCUUAUAAUUUCAGAGGUUUAGUCCAUUUUCAUCAUAGCAGGAAGCAUGGCAACAUGCAGGCAGACAAGGAGCUGAGAGUUCUGCAUUUUGAUCCAAAAGCAGCCAGGAAGAGACUGUCUUUCAGGGGGCUACCAGGAGGGUCUGUUCUGCACUGGGUGGAGCGUCAAAGCCUACCACCAGAGUGAUCCACUUCCUCCAACAAGGUUGCACCUCUGAAUAGAGCCACUCCCUGUGACAAGCAUAUUCAAACUCCCACAUUCCACUCCCUGGCCCCCAAAAACUUGUUGGAGUACAGGAAUAUAUGGGGACCAUAUUUAAACAUAGCAUAACGAAAAAUACAUGAGGUCCAACUUUUAAAAAGUCCCCAUCAUCUAUAGCAGUCUCAAAAAUGUUAAAAGUCCAAAGUGCAGAGUCUCUUCUGAGAUUCAUCCAAUCAUGUAACUAUAAUCCCCUUCAUAAGGUUUCUGGCCAGUAUGUGUGCUCUUAUGUAUUUGGAGAUGACUGUAACGUGCAAAGGCUUUACCACAUUGAUUAUGUUCAUAGGGUUUCUCUUCAAUAUGACUUCUUUCAUGCCUUUCAUGUCUUCUAGAACUUUGACAAUGCUCUUCAAUAUGAUGGACUUCAAUUGUAGCCUCUAGCAGUGAUGUUCUGGAAAGCCAUCGCUUCCCUUGGGCAAAGGGCAUCUAGUUCCCAAUUAACCGAAGCAGCUUGCAUCAGCUCAGAAACUCUGACCCUAUCAAAUGAAAUCCUCUUGCUCUCUCCCAAUGAGAGACAGCCCUGCAAUGUGUCCUCCCAACAGAGCAUGCUCUACCCAGGAAGCAGUCAAGGUCUUCACAGCCUCUGGAAAAUGCAACCAACAUUGAUGAGACGUUCCCACAGAAGCACUGCUCAGGCAGCAUCCGGGAGUGGGUCGGAAGAGAGACUGUGAUGCUUUCGAAAAUGUGGUGUCUCGGUGUCUGCUGUUUCUGUUAAUCCUGAAGAUGCUCACCCGUGAGACUGAAUCAGAAGCCUGUCCCUGCCCUCACUCAGAGGAUGAGUCACACGGUGUGGGCGAGGUUUGGAGAUGGAAGCCAGCUCUGCUCUCUCCGUUGGUAACCAAGGCAAAGGCAUCUUGCUGAGAGAAUGCUUGCAAGUGCAUAGAAAGCUAAUCCCACGGUCAGGCCUGUGAAUGUUGGUUACCACUGUUGGCUAUCCUUUGCUUAAGUUUAAGUCACGGCAUCUUCAGAAUCACAUAGUUCCAAGAUACCAAGGUACUCUGUCUUCUGGUCCACAUUCCUUUGUCAUUGAACAAUUGCAUACACUGAACAGGCUUUGGGUAAAUGAGGGAAGGACAGGGGACCAAGAGAGAAUUUGAGUGCUUGGGAAAUAGCAUUGAACAGUAAGUCAGAAGGUGAGGAGGCCUCUAGAGGUGUACCUUUAAAUUCCAGAUUUGUGUUUCACUGUGUAGGUUUUGGCAGGUUGUCAAAGGCAUUUGAGUUUCCCUCAUUUCCAAUAUACCUUAAAGUGUCUCUUUCAUGGAAAACACCUAGCACAGAGUAUCCGGGUUGCUCUCAGUGAUUGGCAAGUGACAUCUUUUUCUACUAUGUUAAAUGCUCACCAGAAAAAAAAAUGUUCUGAAGGUCCUGUCUUAUCAGAUCAGAGCCAUGUGGGCAGAGAAGGGGUCAGAGAAGGACAGAAAGAGCAUGAGAGACUGUCCAAGAGCACAUGGGAACACACACACACACACACACACACACACACACACACAGAGAGAGAGAGAGAGAGAGAGAGAGAGUGAGAGAGAGAGAAAGAGAGAGAGGGAGAGAGAAAGAGAGAGAGAGAGAGAGAGACAGAGAGAGACAGAGAGAGAGAGAGAGAUGGGGUGGUGACCAGUCCUUUUCUGUGCUAGGUCACUUGCACCCGGAAGUGGCAGAUAAUGGUGGCAGGUGAUGACUUAAGCUGUUGCUAGGUCCCUGGGAGGAGCCUGGUGGAAUCACCUAGAAGCCAACAGUAACGACGACACAGACAUGGGUGUAUUAUCCUCUCUUUGUUCAGUGUAAACUUUAUUUGCUAUGUGCUUUAAGCACACGACUUUUAAGUGUUUGCAAUAAAGGUAUACGUUAAGUGUAUUGUUCUGAUUUGAUAGCUGCAGCACUAACAAAGAGAUGAAGGACUGUCUUCUAGGCUGCACAACUGGCAAACCGAAGUCCUGCAAUUCCAGGCGAGGAUUGCUGCACUUACUUGAGAGACUUUGUUCCUCCUUUGUACCUGCCACGCGCUCUGCUGGGCACAGUUGUGUCCCUGUAAUCAGCAUAGUGAAGACCAAUGGGGUAGUUUGGUCACCGUAGGAAAAAAAAAACAAACUCUUCGACGCCGAUUUCACAACUACUCAUGGAAUCCCACAAACUCUUCUUUGCUGCAGCUCAGAAUCUCUUCAACUGACCGAAUUAUUUCCGUCGAUGUGAAUUUCAAUGCCAUCCAAUAGCAACAAGAUUCAACUAAACAAAGGAUGAGCUGUCCUUAGGGUUUCCCAGAGGGGCUUCUGUCAUAACUUUUCAGUCAGAUGAAUCUGAAGAAUAAAAUUAUUACCAUCUGUCCAGUUCAGGUAGAGAGGAAACUUGUAUUUUAGGGAUGGGCUUUUCUUCUCGUGGGUCUCGUCAGGAGAUUAAAAAUAAAAGAUUCCCCUCCCCCAAAUUCCAUCACCAAGGACAGGUCAUAAUAUCAGGACAUGUCAGUCAGAGGUGAGUGAGAAGCAUAAACUGCUGAGAAGCAGAGACAGACCGAUAGCUCUAGAUGAGGCCAGAGACAGCAUGAGGAAGAGUGCAGACUAUACUAGGGAGAACAAAGGAGAAAAUGAUCGGGCCCAUCCGCGAUUUCGCGAAGCUCUUUGGAGAACUGAAAAUCACUGAGUCGAGUCCUGGACAGCGAGGAAUGUGCUUCCGAAGGACGAAUGACGCGGGAGAGGAGUGGAGUGUAAAAUGGCGUUCAAGUGCCUGUAUCAAAAGGAAGCAUCAGACAACUUGGAAAUCGAUCAAUAGUGUCAUUCAAGUGGAACACAGAACAGACAAUAACCGAAAGAGUAAAGUAGACCCAUUGCUGGGUGACAGAUUUUACUGAGGAGACAUGGUGCACGCGCUUACUCGUCCCAUGUGGGAACCCGAGGCAGACCACAGUAGCACUUGCACCAGUGUUCUACUUGGUGAGCCAGGAUGUUCUCAUUAGAGUUAUCAACAGACGUGUGGUGAGCGGUUACUGACAACAAAUAGGACCAACUCAAAUGUAGCUGUCUGAUCCGAGGGCCCGCAGCAACAGAGCAAGCUGCUCCUCAGGAAGGCUGCGACCCUGGAGCAAUCGGGAUAGCUUGCAGGCCACCGCCCAAACCUCUCCUCUGCAGCAAUGCAUCUCUACCCAGCAACUGUUUGCUCCUUUUAUAAAACUGGGAGAGACUUUCCAGAGGAUCUUCCAAGUUGUUCUUUUCCUAGACGUGUGACCUUUUCUUUACCUCCCAAGUCUCCGGAGCCUCUUCCUUUCUCCUGGAGGGAAGGUUUCAGUUCAGAGGAAAUUGCCUGACAGCUCCUGUAUGUGCCCCUUUCCACUGCUAACGCAGCCUCUGCUUCUUCCAAACCCACAGAGCAGAGGUCAUGAUGGCAUUGCGUCUGUGGAGUUAGUGCCAGAUUCCACGGAUUCAAGAGUUAUCCCAUUUCUCCCCAUUUCUCUUGGGAUUCCAAGGCUACCCAUACUUCCCAGUUAACUACAAACGUGGGGGUUCCCAAACGCUUCUCCACAGGUUCGUUAGUGGUCUGCUGUAGAGGAUACAGCUUGGGGCCUUCUGAAUGGUAGGACCUAAAGAACAAGAUAGAAAGGGCUGUAGGUAGGGCCCGGUAUAAGGCUGCUCUGUAGCCCAUGAGUUGCUCACCAGUGAGAUGUUCUAUGACCCUUGUGUUCAUCAAAGGCUCAUUAUGCAGGCAUGAUUAAGUCAUUGGCUAUGGUGGCUGAACUCUUUCUCCAGCCUUUUUCCACUCCUCGGGGAAGGUUAAGGUUACUGAAACUUUCAACCUGUUAGUCAAGGGGUUGGUUCUACAGAUGACCGGCUCUCAUCCUGAAUCUAUUUAGCUCCAAUUCUCUUCUUGCGUCCACAUUGUUGUAAAUGUGGUGCUCUGCCAGCCUGACUUUCAGCAACUCAACAGCAGCAGCACCAGGGGUGGCACUGGUUUCCACUGUCACUAUGAGGAAGACAGGAGAUUGAUCAUCAGUCAAAUCCACGGAUCUGUGAGGAAAAAUCUGUAAACACCUGUAAACAUCUGUCAACAUCCGGAACACUGCCCAGGACUGUGUGGAUGUUUGAUUAAGCUUCUGUUCGCUCACUUUUGAGCUAUUAAGAGUUCUGUUAUUAAGGUUCUAUUUAUAAGGUCAAAUGCAUUCAGUUGAUCAAAGCCCCCAGGAUUACCACUGGCAUUGUUAGAGCUCAGGUCACUUUCUGGUUCAAAUGCUGGAUAUUUUAUUUCAUUUCUGCCUCUGUGGGUGAGUGCUGAGGGAGUAAAUCUCUCUGCCGAGCAGAGAGAUGCUAUGCAGGGUCCAUGGUUGCUGUUCUUUUUCCUCACGCCUCCAGCAUUCACAUACCCGUGAUUGACGAUCAUUGUUUUACGGUUUUUAAAAUUCCUAUCCAGAGACUUCAGAUUAAUAAUUUCUAUCAGAUGAUUUCCGCUAGUCACUUUACAACACACCAGGAUAUAUGACCGGUAGGUACAAGGAAGUAUUUAUUUGAUUAAAAUCCUUUCGCUUAAUUUUCUGGUUGCCAGUAGCAACCCACAAAAGAUAGAUCUAAAACGACAAGUCGGUGCCACGAAGAUUGCCAGCCAUGUUUUAUUCUUUCCUGAGUUGUGGUUUUAAAAUAGCCUUCCCAGUGCUGAUAGCAAUAAAAACAAUUGCUGUGUAUUCUGCCUUAGACAUAUCGACAAACCAUCUCAUAAACAGCCUGGGCUACUAAUGAACUUUUCCCUGAGGCUUUUAGAUGCAGCCUCAGGCCCCAUAGACUGAAGCUAUGUCCAUAGCUAUAGGGACAAUGACAGUGUUUGUACUAUAAAAAAUAUUUUCUAAUUUCUAUAAACUAAUGCAUGAGAUCAGUGUGAAACACAGAGUAGCAGAAAUAUUUGCAUCUUUUUGAAAACUACCGUCAUUUAAUAAACAAUGUAUAUCACCUCUUUAA